UGGGGAAUAUUGGACAAUGGGGGAAACCCUGAUCCAGCCAUGCCGCGUGAGUGAUGAAGGCCUUAGGGUUGUAAAGCUCUUUUGUCAGGGAAGAUAAUGACGGUACCUGAAGAAUAAGCACCGGCUAACUUCGUGCCAGCAGCCGCGGUAAUACGAAGGGUGCUAGCGUUGUUCGGAAUCACUGGGCGUAAAGCGCGCGUAGGCGGUUAAUCAAGUCAGGGGUGAAAUCCUGGGGCUCAACCCCAGAAUUGCCUUUGAAACUGUUUAACUGGAGUGUCGGAGGGGAUAGCGGAAUUGCUAAUGUAGCGGUGAAAUGCGUAGAUAUUAGCAGGAACACCGGUGGCGAAGGCGGCUAUCUGGACGACAACUGACGCUGAGGCGCGAAAGCGCGGGGAUCAAACAGG
rnacentral:rRNA from 1 species